GGGAUAAAUCUGGGGCUGAGUACAAGCAAAACAAGACCAAAGGAAGCUACCUGAGCAGUCACUGGAGCCCUAAUGAUCGCAGCCAUUUCAGGAAAUGCCAUCAAUUACAGUGAGGAGCUCAUUCAGAAGUGAAAGAUGAGUUCCAUUCUCUGUUACUUAGAGGGUGGAUAUCCUCCUCCACUGAAUGCAAACUAUUAAGUAAUGAAAAGACAGCACUCCAAGCAAUAUAGAUUUAUAGGCCAACCUGGCAAUCAAGGGUAACUGACAUGAAAAUGGAUUGCUUCACAUUUUAAUUACAAAGAUACUCUUCAGUACCAUAAAUUGAAGAAAACACUAACUUUUUGUGGCUACUGUAAUUGUCAAAGUAUAAUUACCUGUGUUUUCUCACCUACGUAUUUGAGAUAGAGACAAAACCAAGUAAGUUAAUCCACUUAUAAUAAAAAUGUCUUCUGAG
rnacentral:lncRNA from 1 species